GAUGAACGCUGGCGGCGUGCCUAAUACAUGCAAGUCGAGCGAACGGACGAGAAGCUUGCUUCUCUGAUGUUAGCGGCGGACGGGUGAGUAACACGUGGAUAACCUACCUAUAAGACUGGGAUAACUUCGGGAAACCGGAGCUAAUACCGGAUAAUAUUUUGAACCGCAUGGUUCAAAAGUGAAAGACGGUCUUGCUGUCACUUAUAGAUGGAUCCGCGCUGCAUUAGCUAGUUGGUAAGGUAACGGCUUACCAAGGCAACGAUGCAUAGCCGACCUGAGAGGGUGAUCGGCCACACUGGAACUGAGACACGGUCCAGACUCCUACGGGAGGCAGCAGUAGGGAAUCUUCCGCAACGGGCGAAAGCCUGACGGAGCAACGCCGCGUGAGUGAUGAAGGUCUUCGGAUCGUAAAACUCUGUUAUUAGGGAAGAACAUAUGUGCAAGUAACUGUGCACAUCUUGACGGUACCUAAUCAGAAAGCCACGGCUAACUACGUG
rnacentral:rRNA from 1 species